GGGCAACACGGUAACUAUAUAGUCAGAAAAGUAAAAGAAUUCUCGCUAGGUCGGGGUGGGACCCGCUACGAGAACGUUUUGAAAAGCUGUCAAGACCCCGACUUGUCUUAAAUUACGUGACAAAGGACGUGCAGGGCAAUUGGUGUAAUUAUAACGGCCUUAACGUGCCUAAAUGCAUUAAAGUUGUAAGGUUAAGCGUGCUAGGGCCAGAGCAAUUCUGGGAUGGGUGACCCCCUGGGAAGUAAACUAAAAUUUUCACAAGUAUAGGAAUAAGGGACGAAUGGGAAAUUUGAGGUAACUUAAAGGAAAUUAGGAUAUGCGGAGUGAUUAGAAACACUCAAGAAGUCGGGUAGACUAAGACAAGAUAAGCUGGUGAGGAAGAAGAUAGCGCAAUGCAGCUUGGGAAUGAGAGUAAGUUUGAAUAAGCGUUUGAGAAUUGUUUUGUAAGCAAAAUGGUAGUAAAUGUGUAUUUGUACACAUGACACCCCAUUCAUGAUUGUACCGACCGACAGGUGGACCUCAGCAGCCAGUGUCGUGAGGUAUGAAAGACAUUAACCGAACAGAAUUUGAGAGACAAAGCGAAAGACAUGGUACAGAUAUUAUAAGUAAACUGACACUAGUUCCGUCGCCAGCUAAGGCCGGGACGUUCCAGCACAACGAUGUUCGGAAAUAGAAAAAAAAAAAAAGGGGCGAGUACGUAAAAGGGGGACAGUAAUAGUAACGUUUGGGAAAUUUUGAAGGAAAGAAAGAGACCUCUCCGACGUAUUAUAAUACCCCAUAAGGCUAGUUGAACAUUCGAGGACGAAUGUUCUAAAGGGGGGGAGGAUGUUACAUCCCGUAUUUUUGAACGUCGGAUUAAUUAUAAGUUGAGGUGGGGCCCACACGUCAAGAUUUUUUUUGGGACAUGUGACAAAUUAUAUGAAUCACAUAUGUGAAGUUAAACACAACUCAAGAAGGACCCUUGGGCCAAAUCAAAGUGGAAGUCCUCCAAACGAAUAUUUUUAAGAAAACGUUUUCGGGUGACCUGACUUUGGGGGGCAAAAACGGUAUUAUAAGUUUGGAAUUUGGAAAAAUACCAAGAAAUAAAAGUUGUAGAUAAUUGAAUUAUCUUUCCAACCAUAGGUCGUGGGUUCCCAGGUGACGUCGGGACAAGGAGAUAUGGACGUUUUAAUGCAGAAAGGUUAGUGGGCUAGGCCCAAUCCGAGCCCAACCGGGUUAGGCCCAUUACCCAAGUUUUUAUAAGUGAAAAUUUCGGCCUUCCUCCUCAUUUUAAGACCUGUAACAACCAGAAAAUUCUGGAAAGAGAGAGAGAGAGGAGCUUUGGAGAGAAGAAAAACUAAUUUUGACCAAAAUCCGAGCCCCGAAUCCCGAAGCCCAUGAAGGGAAAAGUGUUGUACGCUGCGUUGUCUUCAAUUUGAGCUAAAAAUCAACCAAGGAGGAGGGUGAUAACGUGGUGGCUGAAUUCUUAAGAUUUUGGGCGAAACGGGAAUUGAAUUUGGAAAGGCGUAAAGAGCAUACAAGGUACAAACGACAGGUUUGCUGAUCCGCCCGCUUAGGACUUUAUUCUGCUAUUUUGGAGCGCUCCUUUAUCCGGAGCCCAUAUUUUGGUACAGUCUUCUGCUAUCGUAUAUAUGUACAUUAUUCAGGGGUACGACGGGGCCCUGUCCCGUCUUAUGAUUCUGUUAUGUUCUGUAGAGGUCUGUAGACAUACUUGUGUGGGUUCUGUAUAUGUUUUGGAUGAUAUGAUCUGUGACAGCCUUAUCGGCUUCCAUGUACUAUGUCGGUUCAUUUAUGAUAAUUACUAACGCCAA